GUCCACGCUGUAAACGAUGAGCACUCACUUUUGGGGGUAUUUUGACUCCCUCAGAGGUAAAGCAAACGCAUUAAGUGCUCCGCCUGGGGAGUACGGUCGCAAGAUUAAAACUCAAAGGAAUUGACGGGGCCCGCACAAGCGGUGGAUUAUGUGGUUUAAUUCGAAGCAACGCGCAGAACCUUACCUGGGCAUGAAAUCCUGUGAACCUUCCUGAAAGGGAGGGGUGCUCUUCGGAGAAUACAGAGACAGGUGCUGCAUGGCUGUCGU
rnacentral:rRNA from 1 species